rnacentral:tRNA from 1 species
AGUGUAAUAGUUUAAUGGUAGAACGUAACAUUUUUGUUAAAGUGAGAGUUCGAAUCUCUCUUACACACUCCG